rnacentral:rRNA from 1 species
CCCUUAGAUGUUCUGGGCUGCACGCGCGCUACACUGAAGCUAUCAACACGUUUUCCCUCCCUGAGAAGGGCGGGUAACCUUUUGAAUCAGCUUCGUGGUAGGGAUCGGGGCUUGCAAUUGUUCCCCGUGAACCAGGAAUUCCUAGUAGACGCGUGUCAUAAGCUCGCAUCGAUUAAGUCCCUGCCCUUUGUACACACCGCCCGUCGCUACUACCGAUUGAACGUUUUAGUGAGGCAUUUGGACCGACGCAUCUCAGUUUAACCGCUGGUUUGUGUUGGAAAGACUUCCAAACUUGAGCGUUUAGAGGAAGUAAAAGUCGUAACA